rnacentral:ncRNA from 2 species
GCUAUUAAACUAGCGCCAGAGCUUGAGAGUGUGUCGCCACUUACCACGUCCUAUCCGGGAUGAUGAACAAAAGAAGGCAACUCGCAAGCUGACGAGGUGAAGGUGUUCGAAACAUUCGGCGGGGACCUUCCGGUAGCAGAUACUACCGUAAAGUUGGAAAGCAAACCAUCCGGGCGACCGGGUGUACAAGAGUCCAACGUGCAUCGAA